rnacentral:rRNA from 1 species
ACGGGAGGCAGCAGUGGGGAAUAUUGGGCAAUGGGCGCAAGCCUGACCCAGCAACGCCGCGUGAAGGAUGAAGGUCUUCGGAUUGUAAACUUCUUUAAUCGGGGAAGAAAAAAAUGACCUACCCGAAGAAUAAGCCACGGCUAACUACGUGCCAGCAGCCGCGGUAAUACGUAGGUGGCAAGCGUUAUCCGGAUUUACUGGGUGUAAAGGGCGUGUAGGCGGCUCUGUAAGUCAGAAGUGAAAUUCCCGAGCUCAACUUCGGCGCUGCUUCUGAAACUACAGAACUUGAGUACUGGAGGGGAAAGCGGAAUGCCUGGUGUAGCGGUAAAAUGCGCAGAUAUUAGGAGGAACACCGAUGGCGAAGGCAGCUUUCUGGACACUAACUGACGCUGAGUCGCGAAAGCGUGGGUAGCAAACAGGAUUAGAUACCCUGGUA